GAUUCCCCUAGUAACUGCGAGUGAAGAGGGAAGAGCUCAAAUUUUAAAUCUGGCGGUGUUUCGACCGUCCGAGUUGUAAUCUAGAGAAGCGUUUUCCGUGCUGGACCGUGUAUAAGUCUCCUGGAAGGGAGCGUCAUAGAGGGUGAGAAUCCCGUCUUUGACACGGACGACCAGGGCUUAUGUGAUGCGCUCUCGACGAGUCGAGUUGUUUGGGAAUGCAGCUCAAAACGGGUGGUAAAUUCCAUCUAAAGCUAAAUAUGGGCGAGAGACCGAUAGCGAACAAGUACCGUGAGGGAAAGAUGAAAAGAACUUUGGAAAGAGAGUUAAACAGUACGUGAAAUUGCUGAAAGGGAAACGCUUGAUGUCAGUCGCGUCGGCUGGGGAUCAACCCUCGGCUUUACUCGCCGGGAGUGUAUUUCCCUGUUGACGGGUCAGCAUCGGUUUCGGUCGCCGUACAAUGGUGAGGGGAACGUGGCACUCUUCUGGGUGUGUUAUAGUCUUUCAUCGUAUGCGGCGUUCGGGACCGAGGAACUCAGCACGGCUUCGGUCUGUGCUUAGGAUG
rnacentral:rRNA from 1 species